rnacentral:RNase_P_RNA from 1 species
AAAGUUUGACAGACAAUCGCUGGCGGCUUCGGCCGCGAGAGGAAAGUCCGGGCUCCAUAGGGCAGGAUGCUGGAUAACGUCCAGUCAGCGCGAGCUGAAGGAUAGUGCCACAGAAAUGGACCGCCGAUGGCCGCUAUUAUAGCGGCACAGGCAAGGAUGGAACCGAGGUGUAAGAGACCCCGAGGAGCGCUGGUGACUUCGUUCCUGGUAAACCCCAUCUGGAGCAAGACCUAAUGGGACGCAGCUUCCUUGGAAGCAGCCUUUGCCCGAGGCGCGUCCGGGUUGGUCGCUGGAACCGCAUAGUAAUGUGCGGUCUAGAUAGAUGAUUGUCACUUACAGCGGGAGGGUAGUUCCCGUUCUUACCGCUACGAGUACAGAACCCGGCUUACGGCAAACUUUCAUC